rnacentral:rRNA from 1 species
GAUGAACGCUAGCUACAGGCUUAACACAUGCAAGUCGAGGGGAAACGGCAUUGAGUGCUUGCACUCUUUGGACGUCGACCGGCGCACGGGUGAGUAACGCGUAUCCAACCUUCCCAUUACUGUGGGAUAACCUGCCGAAAGGCAGACUAAUACCGCAUAGUCUUCGAUGACAGCAUCAGAUUUGAAGUAAAGAUUUAUCGGUAAUGGAUGGGGAUGCGUCUGAUUAGCUUGUUGGCGGGGUAACGGCCCACCAAGGCGACGAUCAGUAGGGGUUCUGAGAGGAAGGUCCCCCACAUUGGAACUGAGACACGGUCCAAACUCCUACGGGAGGCAGCAGUGAGGAAUAUUGGUCAAUGGACGGAAGUCUGAACCAGCCAAGUAGCGUGCAGGAUGACGGCCCUAUGGGUUGUAAACUGCUUUUGUAUGGGGAUAAAGUUAGGGACGUGUCCCUAUUUGCAGGUACCAUACGAAUAAGGACCGGCUAAUUCCGUG